rnacentral:lncRNA from 1 species
UGCCCUGAUUGGAAGAGUGUCAAUACCGUACCACCGUUAAGGACAACAUGUGAGUAACCCUAAUAUAACAGAUAACUCUAGUGAGAAGGUAGGAACCCUCAUAUAGUAGGCUAAGCCACCUCAUCUACCCUCAUAUAGCAGGCUAUGAUUUCUCAACCUAUGUUGGCUAUAUAGUUCUGGAAUGCAAAGAUUGCUACUAAGAAUCACACCCUCAUAUAAUAGGUAAGUUCCCAUCCUUGGGUUCACUCGGUGCUAAUUUAUACUCUCAUCUGG